rnacentral:rRNA from 1 species
UACGGAGGGUGCAAGCGUUAUCCGGAAUCACUGGGUUUAAAGGGUACGUAGGCGGUUUUAUAAGUCAGACGUUAAAGGCUGUAGCUAAACUAUGGUACGCGUUUGAAACUAUAAGACUUGAAUAUGUUCGAGGUGCGUGGAAUGGGUCAUGUAGCGGUGAAAUGCAUAGAUAUGACUUAGAACACCAAAUGCGAAGGCAGCGCACUAGGGCAUUAUUGACGCUGAUGUACGAAAGCGUGGGUAGCGAACAGG